CAGCUCCCAGCGUGAGCAACGCAGAAGAGGGGUGAUUUCUGCAUUAACAUCUGAGGUCUGCUGGAUUUUGCUGGGGGUCCACUCCAGAAGCUGUUUUCCUGGGUAUCACCAGCAGAGGCUGCAGAACAGCAAAGAUGGCUGCCUGUUCCUUCCUCUGGAAGCUUCAUCCCAGAGGAGCACCCGCCAGAUGCCAGUGGAAUCUCUCCUGCGUGAGGUGUCUGUCAACCCUUGGAAGCACCGGGGUCAGGGACCCAUUUGAGGAGGAAUCUAGAGAGGCAGUCUGUCUACAGCGGUUUUGUCAAAACUCCUUAUUGUUUAACUAAGAAAAAAAAAUCCCCCAAACAGUUUCUGACUUUUGUUUCCUUGGUUCAUCUUCCUCUCAUUGUAUCACAGGGCUACUUGAUUGUAUUUCAGUAUUCAAUUUAUAUAUUUCAUAUUCUGCUGAAUGCAUAGAAUAUAAAUUAAAAAUUCUUUUUCUCAAGCAAGUCA
rnacentral:lncRNA from 1 species